rnacentral:rRNA from 1 species
UACGGAGGGUGCAAGCGUUAUCCGGAUUUACUGGGUUUAAAGGGUGUGCAGGCGGGCUUUUAAGUCAGUGGUGAAGUCUCCGGGCUCAACCUGGAAACUGCCAUUGAUACUAUUAGUCUUGAAUUUUGUUGAGGUAGGCGGAAUAAGUCAUGUAGCGGUGAAAUGCAUAGAUAUGACUUAGAACACCAAUUGCGAAGGCAGCUUGCUAAACAAAUAUUGACGCUGAGGCACGAAAGCGUGGGGAUCAAACAGG